rnacentral:rRNA from 1 species
CUUGUAAGCUCACGGUUUCAUGUUCUAUUUCACUCCCCUCCCGGGGUUCUUUUCACCUUUCCCUCGCGGUACUGUUUCACUAUCGGUCACACAGUAGUACUUAGCCUUACGAGGUGGUCCUCGCAGAUUCACACGGAAUUCCACGUGCUCCGUGCUACUCGGGAUACAGCUAGGUCAACUUAUCUUUCAAUUACGGGGCUUUCACCCUCUAUGGCACGCCAUUCAAACGUUUCUUCUAGACUUGUUGAUCCAUAUUGCUGUCCCACAACCCCGAUAGUCAAGACUAUCGGUUUGGGCUAUUCCCCGUUCGCUCGCCGCGUGAGGGACGAAGGCCUCUGGGCUGUAAACCUCUUUUCUCAAGGAAGAAGAUAUGACGGUACUUGAGGAAUAAGCCACGGCUAAUUCCGUGCCAGCAGCCGCGGUAAUACGGGAGUGGCAAGCGUUAUCCGGAAUUAUUGGGCGUAAAGCGUCCGCAGGCGGCUUUUCAAGUCUGCUGUUAAAGCGUGGAGCUUAACUCCAUUAUGGCAGUGGAAACUGAUUGGCUUGAGUAUGGUAGGGGCAGAGGGAAUUCCCGGUGUAGCGGUGAAAUGCGUAGAUAUCGGGAAGAACACCAGUGGCGAAGGCGCUCUGCUGGGCCAUUACUGACGCUCAUGGACGAAAGCCAGGGGAGCGAAAGGGAUUAGAUACCCCUGUAGUCCUGGCCGUAAACGAUGAACACUAGGUGUCGGGGGAAUCGACCCCUUCGGUGUCGUAGCUAACGCGUUAAGUGUUCCGCCUGGGGAGUACGCACGCAAGUGUGAAACUCAAAGGAAUUGACGGGGGCCCGCACAAGCGGUGGAGUAUGUGGUUUAAUUCGAUGCAACGCGAAGAACCUUACCAGGGUUUGACAUCCUGAGAACCUCUUAGAAAUUUGAGGGUGCCUUCGGGAAUUCAGUGACAGGUGGUGCAUGGCUGUCGUCAGCUCGUGUCGUGAGAUGUUGGGUUAAGUCCCGCAACGAGCGCAACCCACGUUUUUAGUUGCCAGCAUUUAGUUGGGCACUCUAGAAAGACCGCCGGUGAUAAACCGGAGGAAGGUGUGGAUGACGUCAAGUCAUCAUGCCCCUUACACCCUGGGCUACACACGUACUACAAUGCUACGGACAAAGGGCAGCAAACUCGCGAGAGCUAGCAAAUCCCAUAAACCGUAGCUCAGUUCAGAUCGUAGGCUGCAACUCGCCUACGUGAAGUAGGAAUCGCUAGUAAUCGCAGGUCAGCAUACUGCGGUGAAUACGUUCCCGGGCCUUGUACACACCGCCCGUCACACCAUGGAAGUUGGCCAUGCCCGAAGUCGUUACUCCAACCCUUGUGGAGGAGGACGCCGAAGGUGGGGCUAAUGACU